AUUGAACGCUGGCGGCAUGCCUUACACAUGCAAGUCGAACGGCAGCACGGGUGCUUGCCCCUGGUGGCGAGUGGCGAACGGGUGAGUAAUACAUCGGAACAUGUCCUGUAGUGGGGGAUAGCCCGGCGAAAGCCGGAUUAAUACCGCAUACGAUCUACGGAUGAAAGCGGGGGACCUUCGGGCCUCGCGCUAUAGGGUUGGCCGAUGGCUGAUUAGCUAGUUGGUGGGGUAAAGGCCUACCAAGGCGACGAUCAGUAGCUGGUCUGAGAGGACGACCAGCCACACUGGGACUGAGGCACGGCCCAGACUCCUACGGGAGGCAGCAGUGGGGAAUUUUGGACAAUGGGCGAAAGCCUGAUCCAGCAAUGCCGCGUGUGUGAAGAAGGCCUUCGGGUUGUAAAGCACUUUUGUCCGGAAAGAAAUCCUUGGCCCUAAUACGGUCGGGGGAUGACGGUACCGGGAGAAUAAGCACCGGCUAACUACGUG
rnacentral:rRNA from 1 species